rnacentral:rRNA from 1 species
UACGUAGGGGGCAAGCGUUGUCCGGAAUCAUUGGGCGUAAAGCGCGUGUAGGCGGCUCGGUAAGUCUGCUGUGAAAGUCCAGGGCUCAACCCUGGGAUGCCGGUGGAUACUGUCAAGCUCGAGUCCGGAAGAGGCGAGUGGAAUUCCUGGUGUAGCGGUGAAAUGCGCAGAUAUCAGGAGGAACACCAAUGGCGAAGGCAGCUCGCUGGGACGUGACUGACGCUGAGACGCGAAAGCGUGGGGAGCAAACAGG